rnacentral:rRNA from 1 species
CCUACGGGUGGCAGCAGUGAGGAAUAUUGGUCAAUGGACGAGAGUCUGAACCAGCCAAGUAGCGUGAAGGAUGACUGCCCUAUGGGUUGUAAACUUCUUUUAUAUGGGAAUAAAAUGUUCCACGUGUGGGAUUUUGUAUGUACCAUAUGAAUAAGGAUCGGCUAACUCCGUGCCAGCAGCCGCGGUAAUACGGAGGAUCCGAGCGUUAUCCGGAUUUAUUGGGUUUAAAGGGAGCGUAGGUGGAUUGUUAAGUCAGGUGGGAAAGUUUGCGGCUCAACCGGAAAAUUGUAGUUGAAACUGGCAGUCUUUAGUACAGUAGAGGUUGGCGGAAUUCGGGGUGUAGCGGGGAAAUGCUUAGAUAUCACCAAGAACUCCGAUUGCGAAGGCAGUUCACUGGACUGCAACUGACACUGAGGCUCGAAAGUGUGGGUAUCAAACAGGAUUAGAUACCCCUGUAGUC